rnacentral:tRNA from 1 species
GUUAUUAUAAUAUAUUAAAAGUAUUUCUUUUUUGCAAAGAGAAGGAUUUAGUGGUA